UACGUAGGGUGCAAGCGUUGUCCGGAAUUAUUGGGCGUAAAGAGCUCGUAGGCGGUUUGUUGCGUCGGCUGUGAAAUCCCGAGGCUCAACCUCGGGUCUGCAGUCGAUACGAGCAAACUAGAGUGUUGCAGGGGAGACUGGAAUUCCUGGUGUAGCGGUGCAAUGCGCAGAUAUCAGGAGGAACACCGGUGGCGAAGGCGGGUCUCUGGGCAACAACUGACGCUGAGGAGCGAAAGCGUGGGGAGCGAACAGG
rnacentral:rRNA from 1 species